GUACGUUUCAUCAUUUGUUCUACCGAGUCCUGGCCCCCUAAAGAGGUGAGAGCGUUGGAUUCCAUUUAGAGAUCGGCAAACCUUGAUUUGCCAAGCUUCAUCCCCGGAGUUGUGUCCAUCAUCCUACAGGAGGAGGCUGAGACGAAAGUGAGGAAAGUGAGAGCUGAGGAAACGUGCUGCCCCAGAGAACGGUAAAAAAUCACAAAGAUCAGGAAAAAGCCUUAUGUUGGGGCAGCCGCUGCUACCUAUUGGGGGACCAGCACUGUUAAGAAGAGCUUGGGGCUGGAAAUGUGCUGUGUGAAUAAGGAUGUCAAUUCAGACAGGAGGCAUUUUUUUUAAAGGAUGGCAUAUUCCCUGCAUUUUUCAAAAUGGCUCACCGUCCGCCAGGGAGGAAGCUCCUGUCUUGAAGGCAAUCUCCUCGUAUCAGUGACUUCUUGACUGUAGUCUGCGAUGUAAACACAGCAGAGUGGUCAGUCAGGCCUGGCUGGGCUGUGGUACUUGUUAAUCGUGUGACCUUGGGAAAACUAAACCCCAAGCCUCGUUCUCUUCAUUCAUAAAAGAGGGGUGAUAAUGCCAGACUCACAGGGCUUUCCGUGGGAUUUAAUUGGAGAAUAUGUGAGUAAAACCCCCCAGGCAAAGUGUCACACCCAUUGUUAUUGUUAUUAUAAUGAAUCCCUUCCCUAUAAUGACCGUUUCCUGAAAAGUUUAAUCACCAGUUACCAGCAAACCUUUGAAACCAGAGAUGCUGAAGAACUUCAUUUCAUACAUCACCAUGCCUGGCCUAGAGCUGAGCUCAGUGCAUCACGCCUGGUACCCAGACACAGGGGUGUUUUACCAGAGCCCUGUGUUCAGGAGAAAUGCAUGCCUUAGGAGACGAUGCAGGUAUGGUCAGUUACAAUUUUAAAUAUUUAGCUUCCCUCCCUCUUUGCUAUGAUUAUAAGUAUUACUAAAACAUGCUUGGGAGAGAUGUGACAGGCAGGCAGUCAUGUUAGGUGUAUAAUUUUGGUGAAGAUUUAGAGGAUGGACUGGAGGGAAAAUGGUUAAGAUCAGAGGCUGGGAAACUAGGCAGCAAGACUUUUCAAUACAUAGGUGAGAGAGGAUUAGGACUGAACAGGGAGGGCAGGGCAGUGAGGAUGGGAACAAGGCACCUGGUAUGAGAGAUAUUUAUGGGAUAGCAUCAGUAGGCUUGAUGAUAGAUUGAGUAAGGUUGUCAGGAGGCAGUGAGGUGGAGGUGUGGGUGAGGGGUAGGGGCCAGGGGUGAAUCCCAGGUGUGUGGACUGGGAACAGGUAAUGGCGGUGCCUAACCCUCCUCACCAUCUCCUUCUCCUUCUGCUACUAC
rnacentral:lncRNA from 1 species